rnacentral:rRNA from 1 species
AUUGAACGCUGGCGGCAGGCCUAACACAUGCACGUCGAACGAGUGGCGGACGGGUGAGUAAUGUCUGGGAAACUGCCUGAUGGAGGGGGAUAACUGCUGGAAACGGUAGCUAAUACCGCAUACCAUCAGAUGUGCCCAGAUGGGAUUAGCUGGUGGGGGGGGUAACGGCUCAAAAAGGCGACGAGCCCUAGCUGGUCUGCGAGGAUGACCAGCCACACUGUAACUGAGACAAGGUCCAGACUCCUACGGGAGGCAGCAGUGGGGAAUAUGGCACAAUGGACGCAAGCCUGAUGCAGCCAUGCCGCGUGUAUGAAGAAGGCCUGCGGGUUGUAAAGUACUUUCAGCGGGGAGGCGUUACCCGCAGAAGAAGCACCGGCUAACUCCGUGCCAGCAGCCGCGGUAAUAC